rnacentral:rRNA from 1 species
UAGCUAGUUGGUGAGGUAAAGGCUUACCAAGGCGACGAUCUGUAGCGGGUCUGAGAGGAUGAUCCGCCACACUGGAACUGAGACACGGUCCAGACUCCUACGGGAGGCAGCAGUGGGGAAUUUUGGACAAUGGGGGCAACCCUGAUCCAGCCAUGCCGCGUGAGUGAAGAAGGCCUUCGGGUUGUAAAGCUCUUUCGGCCGGGAAGAAAUCGCAUGGGCCAAUACCCUGUGUGGAUGACGGUACCGGAAUAAGAAGCACCGGCUAACUACGUGCCAGCAGCCGCGGUAAUACGUAGGGUGCGAGCGUUAAUCGGAAUUACUGGGCGUAAAGCGUGCGCAGGCGGUUUUGUAAGACAGGCGUGAAAUCCCCGGGCUUAACCUGGGAACUGCGUUUGUGACUGCAAGGCUAGAGUACGGCAGAGGGGGGUGGAAUUCCACGUGUAGCAGUGAAAUGCGUAGAGAUGUGGAGGAACACCAAUGGCGAAGGCAGCCCCCUGGGUCGAUACUGACGCUCAUGCACGAAAGCGUGGGUAGCAAACAGGAUUAGAUACCCUGGUAGUCCACGCCCUAAACUAUGUCAACUAGGUGUUGGGUGGGUAAAACCAUUUAGUACCGUAGCUAACGCGUGAAGUUGACCGCCUGGGGAGUACGGCCGCAAGGUUAAAACUCAAAGGAAUUGACGGGGACCCGCACAAGCGGUGGAUGAUGUGGAUUAAUUCGAUGCAACGCGAAAAACCUUACCUACCCUUGACAUGCCAGGAACUUGCCAGAGAUGGCUUGGUGCCCGAAAGGGAGCCUGGACACAGGUGCUGCAUGGCUGUCGUCAGCUCGUGUCGUGAGAUGUUGGGUUAAGUCCCGCAACGAGCGCAACCCUUGUCGUUAAUUGCCAUCAUUUAGUUGGGCACUUUAACGAGACUGCCGGUGACAAACCGGAGGAAGGUGGGGAUGACGUCAAGUCCUCAUGGCCCUUAUGGGUAGGGCUUCACACGUCAUACAAUGGUCGGUACAAAGGGUUGCCAAGCCGCGAGGCGGAGCCAAUCCCAGAAAGCCGAUCGUAGUCCGGAUUGCAGGCUGCAACUCGCCUGCAUGAAGUCGGAAUCGCUAGUAAUCGUGGAUCAGCAUGUCACGGUGAAUACGUUCCCGGGUCUUGUACACACCGCCCGUCACACCAUGGGAGCGGGUUCCGCCAGAAGUAGGUAGCCUAACCGCAAGGGGGGCGCUUACCACGGCGGGGCUCGUGACUGGGGUGAAGUCGUAACAAGGUAGCCGUAGGGGAACCUGCGGCUG